GGGCUUUUCGCAUACCAGAGCGUGUUUAGAUGUGGGACUUUGCAUCUAACCUCUCAAAAGAUGCGCUUUUUCUUUCAAUCACAUCAAAUCAGAUGGCAAAUCUAACAAUGAAAACAUUUUGAUCAAAUUGCUUUAAUUUUGAGGAGAUAACAGAGCGUUAAAAGUGAAAACCCAGCGACUGCAUGAGAACUCAACAGUAAGAAUGAAGACAAAGCUCGCUGAAAUUGUAGCCGAAAGAGAGCAUCAGGGCUUUCAGACACAGCAGUAAUAUGAUGCACUGGAUGCUACGGGCUGGUAAAGGAGAAAAGAAGAAGAUACAGUAGUUUGCCAUAUGAUUGACUACCUUUUUUUGUAAUUGCUAAAAGGUUAUUUGGGAAUGUUUUGUAUGUGCUAAUGGUUACUGUAGGACAAGCAGGCAUCCCUCUUGAAAAAAAGCAUUUCCAUCAAACACGGGCUAGUCUUUUCUUAUUCUUAGAGUUUCAUUGAUCUAAAUAAUUGGAUUAUAGAGAUAGCUCAGUGAAUUUGAUUGUACAUUUAAAGUUAAAUAAAGUGUGUAUUUAUUGUA